AUAACUUUAAAAAUACAUAGAUCGUGUCAUCAACUUAUGAAAUUAAUGAUUCUUCAAAACAUAUUUUAAUGAAAUUAAUAAAGCGGGAAUUAAAAUACUGGAAAAUGUUUGGGUUAUAUUGCUUUUUUCAACUUAAGACAAUAAAAAUAUCUUAGUUUUCGAAAGCAAAAUAGAUAACCGAUUGUACAUAUUUACAUUUUUGGGAGAUUAAUCCAAAAUGUAUUAAUCCUUGGGUGGUUUAAGUUAACUGAAUAGUAUUUAACAGUGGAAAGAAUGAAUUUAUUGGCACAGACUUUCAUGCUGUCAUUCAUAGAACUAUAAAAUUAUUGGCAGAGACUUUAAUAGAACUAUAAAAAUUAAAUUUGGCAGGUUUCCCCGGGAAUGUGACGGUGAAAGUGACGUACAUGUUGAUCGGAGAAAACAAACUAGCUUUGAAAAUGGAAGGAAAGCCACUCAACAAACCCACACCGAUCAACUUAGCCCUCCACACAUACUGGAACCUCCACGGCCACAACUCCGGCGACAUCCUCUCCCACAAAAUCCAGCUUCUCGCCAAAAAAAUCACUCCGGUCGACGAAGAACUCAUCCCCACCGGCGAAAUCACCUCAAUCGAAGGAACUCCUUACGACUUCCUCGAGCCCCGCGAGAUCGGAAGCCGGAUCCAUAUUAUUUUAUUUUUGUUAUUGAAAAGCUAUUAUAAAAAUUAAUUUUAUAAUAAUUCUUAUUUAAUUAAUUAUUUUAUUUUUAGCCAAAGUUCUUAUUUGUUAUUAAAAAUUAAUCAAAUGAUUUAUUUUAUGGUAACUGAAAAUUGAAAUUUAAUAUUUAGUUAUAUUUUGUACAAAACUUGAUAUCAUCUUAUAUUUUCAAUGAUUAAGAAUAUUAUGUUCAUAUAUAUUACAAUUUUUUAAUCUAUUGACAUGCGGUUCAACAAUGGUCGACCUAGUGACCCAGUGACUCAGAAAAAAAUUGGUUCAGAAUCCAGAUCAAUUUAAAACAUUAUAUAAAAUAAAUUUGUCCUUCACUAAAUUUUAUAAGGAAUAAUUAAUCUUUCCUAUAAUGUUAUUCUUAUCCGUUCGUAAUGUUUCUUUGAUGGUUACCAGUUAGAUCCUAAACAAAAUUAAAGGACAUAACUAUCUUAAAAUCACUUGCAUUCUCUAGUAUAAUUUGCUGUUUAAAGUUUUCUUUUAUUUUUUAAAAAUCCAAGAAUAUAUGAAUUUGAUUUUCCAUUUAGUCAUAGACUAUUAUUUCAAAAUAAAAUACUCUACUACUUUUUUAUAAAAUUUUACGUUUACAUCUAAAAGCUUUUGAUGUCUUUUAACUGACAUACGCAGGAUAUUUUAGUAAAGCAAUAUUUGUGGCUAUUUCUAUAAGAAGCAAAAUGUUUAGUAUAAUAUGAAACUAAAUAUGCAAAAAGUUGGUUUCUUAGAUUAAGUACAACUUAUAUAUUUGAAGUAUAUAGUAAAAUUAAAAUGAAGCAUACAAUUUGAUUAGUUCUUUAAGAAAUUUGAAUGGUAAACACAAGCUUAUUUUCUAGAAAGGGGGAACGAAGAAUAAUAUGAUCAGUCUAGCGUUAUCGUUCUCAUCCACAAAUAUUAAAUCAGACGAGUCAUGCUUGAGGUAGCUAUAUUUACGGGAGAGUCUUUGCAUCUUAUCCCUUUUGUCUAGGUUUCAAAAGUCUGAUCUGCUCUAUUUUCGGACUUUGAUUUCUUUUUAAAUUUUAAUUUACUAUUUUUUCUAUUACAAAAAGGUAAAACAUGUUUUAAAUGGCCUAAAAUUUUUAAAGUUUAACCGAGACAAGUUCAAUAUGUUAUAUUUUCUCAAUUCUCUAUUUUCUUAUUACCUUAACCACUUCCAGACUCUAAAAUCUAAAUCAAAAUAUAAUUAUUAUCUCAAUUCUUCUAUUUUCUAAGAACAAAAAGUAAAUAAUGAGGCCACGUACUUGGGGUAAACUGCUUGAAGAGUAACAGAUUUGAUUUACAAAUUGGUUUCCAUUUAAAGAAACAAGAAAUAUUAGUUACGACUUACGAUAUACUUUCAAAAAGAAUAUUUAAUAACAAAUCAAUUUCAAGAAAUUUAUCCAUUGAAAGAAAAAAGCGUGUACCACAAGUCCGUGAAUGCAUUUACGCAUGGUAUAUCCAACUCAAAAGAAAAGUAAAACAAAAAAUAGUCGAAUAUACACCUUUAAAAAAAUCGCCAAAAUAUAGUAUAACUAAAAACAAAAUAUAUAUUCAUUUUUAUUUUAAAUUUUUCUUUAAACUGAGAGGUUUCUUCAAGUAUAAGAUAUUUACCAAUUUCACUUAGGAUGUUUUGUCUGAGAAAGUUUUGUGAGUUGAUAAAGUGAGUUUUGAACCUAUUUAUGAUAAUAUAUAUAAGAGAAAUAAGGUUUAAGAAAUAAAUCCCAAAAUAUAAAAGUCAACUAAAAUAUCUUCUAACAAAUUGAAAUUACAACCAAAUUUUUUGAAAAGUCUCGGAUAAUAAUCUCAUCUCUCUCAUUUACAGGCUAGUAUAAAAUUAUAAAUAGGAUACAAAUACAUACACACAGUACAAGGAGAAAAAUCCAAACUUUCAGUUUCUCUCUCUCUCUCUCUCCAUUUCUCUCGCAUUACUCUCUCACUCAUCAAUUUUAAUCGAUCUGGAGAAAAUGGCGAACAAGCAAUUGUCUUUGCACGUUGUGGGCCUGACUGUAUUGGUGUUGUUGUUGUCAUGUUUUGUUAACUACAGUGUCUCUAAACAGAUCAAAACCUAUAAGCUCACCAGAGGAAAGUUGUCUGUUACAUUCACUAACUAUGGCGCUGUUAUGACCUCUCUUCUUCUCCCAGACAGACAUGGUCUCUCUCUCUCUCUCCCAAAUCUUCUCUCUUCUCUUCCCAUUUUCUGAUUUAGAUCUGAUUUUGUUUUUCUUCUAAUGUAAUUCAGGAAAGCAAGAUGAUGUUGUUCUUGGAUUUGAUACUGUUGAUGCUUACAAGGUAAUAUCUUUUAUUAUUUUUUUCAUGUUAUAACUUUUUGGUAAAAAACAUAUAUGCGGUUUGGAUAGAAUAGAACUGGAUGUUCGGCUCAAAAGCACCUUACUUAUCGUCACGUCCUUCAAUGUCUUCAUUUAUUAAAAACGAUCGUUUUUUUAUUUACUUUAUAUUAUAAUCUCACUAGUGGUGAGUCCACACUUGUGGUGUUAUUUUGUUCGAAGAAACGACAAUACUUUAUAAUUUACUUUUUUUUUUUUUUUGGAUUUUUUUAGAGUAAUUGACGUGGAUACACCAAAAAACCUAUAUAAUUUGCCAUAUACCCUUGUUUUUUUUUAAUAUUUUUUAUGACUAUAAUACCCUUAUCUCUAGGUCUGUCUCUUUUCCCUUUUCUUUGUUCUAAUCUCUUUAUCUCUGGUACAAAUUCUUCAAAUCAUCUUCUAAUUCAACAUAAAUCUUUAUUUUUUUAUUCUGAUUCUUUUGACACCCAUAAUGCUAAUCUUAUUAUCUCACCCUAAUUCCAAUGUUUCCAAUUUCGAAUCACAAUUUAGAUAAUAUAUAUGUUGGUAGGUAUUUUAUUACUUAACUGCUAUUAUUUAGAUUUUAGUGGAUUCUUAAUCGAUACGUGGAGUGUUAGCUGUUACAAAUAUAUUUGAGGCUAUUUGAUAGAUAACUAAUUAAUUGUUAAUAGUUUCAUUAACUGAUAUAUAAUUUGUUAGUCGAUACAUUUGUUUGAUACACAGAUUGUUAGCUGAUACUGAAAUUAUUAGCUGAUAUGUUAGUUGGUAUGUAGAUUGUUAUCUGCUAUGUAAAUAUUUAGCUGAUAGAUCUAGAGUUACAUGGUUUCGAUAUAUUUUUGUCUGCACAGUGUCAAAAGGUUAUUCUUUUUUUGGUUAUCUAUAAUCAUGGGCAUUCAGCUAAUUUGGAUCUUAAUUGAGUAUAUUCAACUUAUUAUCCCUUUUUUUUUUAUAUUAGAAUGAUACAACUUAUUUUGGGGCAAUCGUGGGAAGAGUCGCUAAUAGAAUUGGAGGUGCUAAGUUCGAAUUAAAUGGUCAAUUGUACAAGACCGAUCCCAACGAAGGCCAUAACACCCUUCAUGGUACCCCUUUUUCAGUUGAUUAUUUUUGAAAUAUUUCUUUUCAAUCAGAUAAAAAAAUGUUAUUUAUGGUUAUUUCAGGUGGUACAAAGGGAUUCGGCGAUGUGACUUGGUCAGUCGAAAACUACGUUCCCACAAGCCACAUCACUUUCAUAUACCAGAGUUUCGACGGUGAAGAGGGUAAUACGAUCUAUAUUUAUAACUUUAAAAAUACAUAGAUCGUGUCAUCAACUUAUGAAAUUAAUGAUUCUUCAAAACAUAUUUUAAUGAAAUUAAUAAAGCGGGAAUUAAAAUACUGGAAAAUGUUUGGGUUAUAUUGCUUUUUUCAACUUAAGACAAUAAAAAUAUCUUAGUUUUCGAAAGCAAAAUAGAUAACCGAUUGUACAUAUUUACAUUUUUGGGAGAUUAAUCCAAAAUGUAUUAAUCCUUGGGUGGUUUAAGUUAACUGAAUAGUAUUUAACAGUGGAAAGAAUGAAUUUAUUGGCACAGACUUUCAUGCUGUCAUUCAUAGAACUAUAAAAUUAUUGGCAGAGACUUUAAUAGAACUAUAAAAAUUAAAUUUGGCAGGUUUCCCCGGGAAUGUGACGGUGAAAGUGACGUACAUGUUGAUCGGAGAAAACAAACUAGCUUUGAAAAUGGAAGCAAAGCCACUCAACAAACCCACACCGAUCAACUUAGCCCUCCACACAUACUGGAACCUCCACGGCCACAACUCCGGCGACAUCCUCUCCCACAAAAUCCAGCUUCUCGCCAAAAAAAUCACUCCGGUCGACGAAGAACUCAUCCCCACCGGCGAAAUCACCUCAAUCGAAGGAACUCCUUACGACUUCCUCGAGCCCCGCGAGAUCGGAAGCCGGAUCCACGAGUUACCCGGCGGCUACGACAUCAACUACGUCAUCGACGGGAUUGUGGGGAAGCAUCUGAGGAAAGCCGCUGUCGUGUCGGAGAAAGU
rnacentral:lncRNA from 1 species